UGUGAGAUAGAUUAAAAUUUCCCAUCUUGUAUGGGGUGAGCAAGGGUAUCGCCUCUCUUUCAUCCAUUUUUUUGCUUUCUUCUUUGGAGUUGCUGUUCGUGUUCAUAUUUGCCAUCGUCGUAUUUGCCAUUCAAUUGACUCCCAUGCAGUGUCUUGCCAUAUUAUAUUAGUAUUUUAUUAGUAUUAAAUAUAUUAAAUGCUCCUUUUUACUUUAUUGAUAGGAACCGGGAAAUACCAAGUUAUCAUUCAUUGGUGCUUAUCCGAGGGACCACUCUGAUGGCAACAAAAACAAACCAUUGAGAUUUGUAGCACAAAUCCGGUGAUGAGAGGAAUAAGAAGGAUUUA
rnacentral:lncRNA from 1 species